AUGCAAGUCGAGCGGGGCCCUUCGGGGUCAGCGGCGGACGGGUUAGUAACGCGUGGGAACGUGCCUUUUGCUUCGGAAUAGCCCUGGGAAACUGGGGGUAAUACCGGAUGUGCCCUGAGGGGGAAAGAUUUAUCGGCAAGAGAUCGGCCCGCGUCUGAUUAGGUAGUUGGUGGGGUAAUGGCCCACCAAGCCGACGAUCGGUAGCUGGUUUGAGAGGAUGAUCAGCAACACUGGGACUGAGACACGGCCCAGACUCCUACGGGAGGCAGCAGUGGGGAAUCUUAGACAAUGGGCGCCAAGCCUGAUCUAGCCAUGCCGCGUGGGUGAUGAAGGCCUUAGGGUCGUAAAGCCCUUUCGCCGGGGAAGAUAAUGACGGUACCCGGUAAAGAAACCCCGGCUAACUCCGUGCCAGCAGCCGCGGUAAUACGGAGGGGGUUAGCGUUGUUCGGAAUGACUGGGCGUAAAGCGCGCGUAGGCGGGUCAGGAAGUUGGGGGUGAAAUCCCGGGGCUCAACCCCGGAAUGGCCUUCAAACUCCUGGUCUUGAGUUCGAGAGAGGUGAGUGGAUUCCGAGUGUAGAGGUGAAAUUCGUAGAUAUUCGGAGGACACCAGUGGCGA
rnacentral:rRNA from 1 species